rnacentral:rRNA from 1 species
GGAAUAUUGGUCAAUGGUCGGAAGACUGAACCAGCCAAGUAGCGUGCAGGACGACGGCCCUACGGGUUGUAAACUGCUUUUAUGCGGGGAUAACCGGCGGCACUAGUGCCGCCCUGCAGGUACCGCAUGAAUAAGGACCGGCUAAUUCCGUGCCAGCAGCCGCGGUAAUACGGAAGGUCCGGGCGUUAUCCGGAUUUAUUGGGUUUAAAGGGAGCGCAGGCGGGAGUCUAAGCGUGCCGUGAAAAGCUGUGGCUCAACCACAGUCGUGCGGCGCGAACUGGUCUUCUUGAGUUCACGGUAAGCGGGCGGAAUUCGUGGUGUAGCGGUGAAAUGCUUAGAUAUCACGAGGAACCCCGAUUGCGAAGGCAGCCCGCUGCAGUGUUACUGACGCUCAUGCUCGAAGGCGCGGGUAUCGAACA